rnacentral:lncRNA from 1 species
UAUUUCAAAAUCUGUAUUUUAAAAAAAAUUUUAUUUAUUUGUAUAUCUAUGUAUGUAUGUAUGUAUUUUGCUUUUUUAGGGCCACACCUGAGGCAUAUGGCGUUUCCCAGGCUAGGGGUCUAAUCGGAGCUACAGUUGCCAGCCUAUGCUACAACCAGAGCAAUGCAGGAUCCAAGCCACGUCUGCAGCCGACACGACAGCCAGAUUCUUAACCCACCGAGUGAGGCCAGGGAUCAAACCCACAUCCUCAUGGUUCCUAGUCGGAUUCAUUUCCGCUGCUCCACGAUGGGAACUCCCUCCAAAUCAGUAUUUAUCAGAGUUUAUAUGUUUGCUCUCCUAUCUGUGGAUACCCAUAUUACCUUCAUCUUCCUACCACUUUAGAUAAUACUAUGAUAAACACACUUUUUAGACCUCUGUGAUGUUUUCCUCCCCCUUCCUUCCAUCCAUCCUUUCUUUCUUUCUUUCUUUCGCCACCAUGUGUGGUGGCUUGAUGUGGGAUCUCAGUUCCUAGACCAGGGAUUGAACCCAGACAGCAGUGUUGCAAGUACCAAAUCCUAACCAUUAUACCAACAGGGAACUCGUUGUAUUUUCUUUGAAAUAUUUAACCAGCAGUGUGAUUUCUGGAUCAUAGGGUAUUCAUAUAUUUUAUUGAAGGACUGCAAGAUUGUGUUCCAGAAUAAGUUGCAGUGGUCUCUAUUCCUUCAGGGUUCAAGAGAGUUUUAGUAUCCUUGUAUCCUCCCCAGUGCUUACUGUUAUUCAGUGCCUUGCUUUUUCCAGACUAGUGGGUACAAAGUGAAAUCUCAUUUUAUUUAUUUAUUUUUUUGUCUUUUUGCCUUUUCUAGGGCUGCUCCCACAACAUAUGGAGAUUCCCAGACUAGGGGUCUAAUUGGAGCUGAUGCCAGAGCCACAGCAACGUGGGAUCUGAGCUCCGCGUCUGCAACCUACACCACAGCUCACGGCAACGCCGGAUCGUUAACCCACUGAGCAAGGGCAGGGACCGAACCCGCACCCUCAUGGUUCCUAGUCGGAUUCGUUAACCACUGCGCCACGACGGGAACUCCCGAAAUGUCAUUUUAAAUUACAUUUUGGAGUUCCCAUUGUGGCUCAGUGGUGCAAACCAGACUAGGAUGUGGGUUUGAUUCCUGUCCCCACCCAGUGGGUUAAGGAUCCGGCAUUGCCACAAGCUACAGCAUAGGUUGCAGGUGCUGCUUGGAUCCAGUGUUGGCUGUGGCUGUGGUGUCGGCUUCAGCUGUACCUCCGAGUAGACCCCUAGCCUAGGAACUUCCAUAUGCCAUGAGUGCAGCCCUAAAAAGACAAAAAAAAAAAAAAA